rnacentral:rRNA from 1 species
AACGAACGCUGGCGGCAUGCCUAACACAUGCAAGUCGAACGAGACCUUCGGGUCUAGUGGCGCACGGGUGCGUAACGCGUGGGAACCUGCCCUUAGGUUCGGAAUAACUCCCCGAAAGGGGUGCUAAUACCGGAUAAUGUCUUCGGACCAAAGAUUUAUCGCCUUUGGAUGGGCCCGCGUUGGAUUGGCUAGUUGGUAGGGUAAAAGCCUACCAAGGCGACGAUCCAUAGCUGGUCUGAGAGGAUGAUCAGCCACACUGGGACUGAGACACGGCCCAGACUCCUACGGGAGGCAGCAGUGGGGAAUAUUGGACAAUGGGCGAAAGCCUGAUCCAGCAAUGCCGCGUGAGUGAUGAAGGCCUUAGGGUUGUAAAGCUCUUUUACCCGGGAUGAUAAUGACAGUACCGGGAGAAUAAGCGCCGGCUAACUCCGUG